GAUGAAUGCUGGCGGCGCGCCUAACACAUGCAAGUCGAGCGGUAACAUGGACUUCGGUCUGAUGACGAGCGGCGGACGGCUGAGUAACGCGUGGGAACAUGCCCCAAAGUGAGGAAUAACUGCCCGAAAGGGUGGCUAAUGCCGCAUAUGAUCUUCGGAUUAAAGGAUUUAUCCGCUUUGGGAGUGGCCUGCGUACGAUUAGGUAGUUGGUGAGGUAAUGGCUCACCAAGCCUACGAUCGUUAACUGGUCUGAGAGGAUGAUCAGUCAGACUGGAACUGAGACACGGUCCAGACUCCUACGGGAGGCAGCAGUGAGGAAUCUUCCACAAUGGGCGAAAGCCUGAUGGAGCGACGCCGCGUGCAGGAUGAAGGCCUUCGGGUUGUAAACUGCUUUUAUAAGUGAAGAAUAUGACGGUAACUUAUGAAUAAGCACCGGCUAACUACGUGCCAGCAGCCGCCGCG
rnacentral:rRNA from 1 species